CUACGGGGUGCAGCAGUGAGGAAUAUUGCACAAUGGGGGGAACCCUGAUGCAGCAACGCCGCGUGGAGGAUGACGCAUUUCGGUGUGUAAACUCCUUUUAUAUGUCAAGAAAAUGACGGUAGCAUAUGAAUAAGCGCCGGCUAACUCCGUGCCAGCAGCCGCGGUAAUACGGAGGGCGCAAGCGUUACUCGGAAUCACUGGGCGUAAAGGACGCGUAGGCGGGUGAAAAGUCAGGUGUGAAAGCCUACAGCUUAACUGUAGAACUGCACUUGAAACUCUCAAUCUAGAGUAUGGGAGGGGCAGAUGGAAUUAGUGGUGUAGGGGUAAAAUCCGUAGAUAUCACUAGGAAUACCUAAAGCGAAGGCGAUCUGCUGGAACAUUACUGACGCUAAGGCGCGAAAGCGUGGGGAGCAAACAGGAUUAGAUACCCGAGUAGUC
rnacentral:rRNA from 1 species